ACGAGAAGCCAGAGCUUGCUCUGGUGGAGAGUGGCAGACGGGUGAGUAACGCGUGGGAAUUUGCCUUUCGGUACAGAAUAACUCAUGGAAACGUGAGCUAAUACUGUAUACGCCCUUCGGGGGAAAGAUUUAUCGCCGAAAGAUGAGCCCGCGUUGGAUUAGCUUGUUGGUGAGGUAAAAGCUCACCAAGGCGACGAUCCAUAGCUGGUCUGAGAGGAUGAUCAGCCACACUGGAACUGAGACACGGUCCAGACUCCUACGGGAGGCAGCAGUGGGGAAUCUUGCACAAUGGGCGAAAGCCUGAUGCAGCCAUGCCGCGUGAGUGAAGAAGGCCCUAGGGUUGUAAAGCUCUUUCGCUAGGGAAGAUAAUGACGGUACCUAGUAAAGAAGCCCCGGCUAACUCCGUGCCAGCAGCCGCGGUAAUACGGAGGGGGCUAACGUUGUUCGGAAUUACUGGGCGUAAAGCGCGCGUAGGCGGACUGAUUAGUUGGAGGUGAAAGCCCAGAGCUCAACUCUGGAAUUGCCUUCAAUACUGUCAGUCUAGAGUUCGAGAGAGGUGAGUGGAAUUCCUAGUGUAGAGGUGAAAUUCGUAGAUAUUAGGAAGAACACCAGUGGCGAAGGCGGCUCACUGGCUCG
rnacentral:rRNA from 1 species